AGCGAACGCUGGCGGCAGGCCUAACACAUGCAAGUCGAACGAAGUCUUCGGACUUAGUGGCGGACGGGUGAGUAACACGUGGGAACGUGCCUUUAGGUUCGGAAUAACUCAGGGAAACUUGUGCUAAUACCGAACGUGCCCUUCGGGGGAAAGAUUUAUCGCCUUUAGAGCGGCCCGCGUCUGAUUAGCUAGUUGGUGAGGUAAAGGCUCACCAAGGCUACGAUCAGUAGCUGGUCUGAGAGGAUGACCAGCCACAUUGGGACUGAGACACGGCCCAAACUCCUACGGGAGGUAGCAGUGGGGAAUCUUGCGCAAUGGGCGAAAGCCUGACGCAGCCAUGCCGCGUGGAUGAUGAAGGUCUUAGGAUUGUAAAAUCCUUUCACCGGUGAAGAUAAUGACUGUAGCCGGAGAAGAAGCCCCGGCUAACUUCGUGCCAGCAGCCGCCGUAACAC
rnacentral:rRNA from 1 species